GUGGAUUAAAGACUUCUUUCAGCUCAGACCUUUGUACCUGCUGGGUGUAAACUGGUCUAGGUGAUGGUGGAGUGAAUGCACUCACUCCAGGGAGUGGAUUCACUCCAGGGAAGUGGAUUCAGAGUGACAAUGGCACAAGACAGGCAGCUACGUCUUUCCUAGAAAAUGAAGCCGAUGGACUUUCAGCCCUAUCUUUGUUGAAGUAUUGAAAGGGCUCUGUGCCGUGAGUGAGAACCCUCUUAAUUUUUUUGCUUCCAGUAGAAUAUUGCUGAGGGCCUAGUUCUGAAACACUCAACCCUCUCUAAAUAGUGCAUUUGCUUUUAUCUGAUUUUCUUGGCAUUCGCCAUGGUCUGAGAACAUGUUCUGCUCCAUGAAGAAGAUCAGAGAGAAGUUCAUGCAUGUAAGCCCGAAAGCUGUCCUGCUUCAUUUAGCCGGGCAACAUUUUGGGGUAAAGCUGCAUGGGAGUUGUAUGUGCUAAGCACUUUUUUGGAGUCAGCCUAAAAGGACUUCAGACAGCUCAGCAUCUUUCAUGAUUGGGCCCUGGAUGCUGGAAAACAGCUGCUACAGGUGAUAGGUGGCAUCUGCUGUGAAAUGGAAGUGAUGUUGGCUUCUCCUCUCGCUUUCUCUCACUCAGGUUUUUAAUUACAGACCUGAGCAGAGCGCAGUACCGCCAGCUUGUCUGAGCCAGCCCGGCUUCAAUCUGCUGACCCAACAGAAACCUCCGCUUGGGAGCAUCCCCAUUUAGCUCGUGGCCUGGCAGCUCUGUUGGCCGGUCAGGAGAAGGGAUGGAGAUAAAUCUCUCCUAUCCUUCUUCUGGGAUGAUGGGAAUGAAGAACAGGGGCUCUGCUUUACCUGUGUGUCCCAGGCCCAUGUAGCCGUGUGAAGGCACAGCUCUGGCUGCGGUAGCGUGCAGCAAUGUUAGUACACAGCACAAGCUGCAGAUCUGGAACCAGCCUUUCCAGAAGUUUAGCUAUUAUGCGUGGGAUCCAUCCUUCCUGACUUUGAAGCACCUUACAGAGUACUCCUGCAAUGCAGACCUCUUCAGCCAACUGCCUAGAGCCCUUUCAGUCCCAUGGAGAGAGGGAGGUGUUGCUGGGGAACGAUUCGUUUGACCCAGAAGUAGCUGUUUCUGUCCUUGGACUGGCUCUGACAUAGGUGUUCAUGGCCAGGCAAAACCGGCCCCACUUUCUGGUCUUGCUCUGUUUGGCUUGGAAAACCUCCCAAAGCGCUUGGGUGUUCCUGUUCUGUGGCCCCUCUCUGGCAAAGUGUUUCUAAUACCCUUAGUGUUUUAAAAUCUUGUUUUAAAACUGUACUUUGGUGGUGGAUUUCAUAAUGGCACAUGGAAUCCACAUUGUGCACAGUUAGGUUGGUUGCAUUUUAUUGAAGAGGUUUGAUAAAAUUCAAACAGUUCAACCAGAGCAGAAGAUGAAAGGAAAUGAGCUAGUUAUAUUUUGGCACAUAAUUCUCCAGCCCUCUUUUCCUCCUUUCCCCCUCCUUAACAAAACAAGCUAAGAAUGAAUGCACUCAAAUAGAGGUGUUUUUCCAGGUUAUGUAAGAUUUAUGUCACCAAAGCCUGCUGUUGCUCCUUUUUGUUCUUCCUGUAUUUUCAACCCCCGUGCUGUUACUGUCUCUACUUUGAGCUCGCUCUCGCUGGUAAAGAGGAGAGUGGUUUGCUGCUGAGACAAGGUCUAGCAACCUGUAGGUGAUGUGCUUUUUUGGCUUGAGUUAUACAUAGUCAAUGUGUGAGGAGUUAGACGUUAUAGACAGCCAAGCCAUUUCACCUCUGGAAAAUGAAGGUUGUGUUGUUGGAUGUGGGCAAAGCUAGAGAGUGCUGGAGCAGACAGAGAAAUGAUAGCAGUGCAAGAGGACCUGGGAAACAGGUCUCUUACUCUUACUGAAAGACGCUUUCCCAUUCUUCAAACCUCCGGGGAAAACAAUUCCAGCAGCGGGGAGCAGGGUCGAUGGGGAGGAAUGCGGGAGAUGGUCUUCUUGACAUACCUGCUGGUUCCUACCAAAAGCAGAUGAAUGGACUGGUUCUGCUUUCACAUAUGCUGGUGUAAAUCCAAGUGCUGUAUCUACUCUGGACUUACACCAGGGCACUGAAGCAAAAGAGAGCCCUGGGAAUCUGUAAGCUGAGCUUUGACGGCUGCACCUGUUAAUGGGAGUGCUGAUUAUUCAUUGACAAGCGGCGCUGGGCUGCUCCUUGGCUGGGUGAGGCUUUGUGCACAGAAAUUAAGCAGACUUGAAGCGGCGUCUCUUCCAAGCCAGUAAAUAGCACAGGGAAUGUGUCUUCCUUUAAAGGGAACGAGGUAGCACAACUCUUUGAAUGGUGUUAGCGGACUUUGUGCUGCCAGUAGAAGGUGGUGCUGAGCCUCUUCUGCUGCAGUGAGUUGGGCUCUGCCAUGACAUAGCUCUGGAAGCUCUUCUUGAUUGUGGUUUUCCAUACGAACCUCAUGCUUGAGCUGCUUCCUGCUCCCGAGCUGAAUCCCCUGGCCAGGCAUCUCCCACUGCUGGAGCUGGUACUGCUUCCUCCCACGCUGCGGCUGUUGCUGAAGCCCAGCCCUGGUGUGUUCCCACUUCCAUGGCUGUGUCUGGAUGAGACCACGGCUGUGAUGGGAAGCCACAGGAGAGGGUUAGUUUGUAAGGGAAUUUCAGUCUUUGGUUUCACGUGUCGAGGGUUUUCCUUGGUAGUCUGCCACUGCCCAUAUUUCAAAUCCUGAAGUAUAUGGUGUUUUUGAGGUGAUAAGUACUAGUUGCAUGACUCCUUUGUACUGCGUUAUCAUCAGUUCCAGGUAUAUUUUAAGGAAUAACUCAAUGAAUACUCAAUCUACUGCUUAAGAGCUAGAUUACUUACAAAUAUUCGCUGUGCAAAUGUCUUCUCCAGCCAGCCUGGAAGAAAGAGAGGAGAGAGAAGGAAGAGCUUGUUGUUUAGGAUGGUUUCAAGCAACAGUUUGGCACCAGUGAUGGUGACAUUCGAUAACCAAAUGGUGUGGGGUGUUUAAUGUCUAAAUGAAGUGGCGAGUCUCUGACAGGAAGGACAGGAAUUGAAAUAACACCUGUGACUGCGUAGUAUAGGGCGUGUAUUCUGUUCAUGGUAAUUUUGGGGGAUUCAUCCUCAGUGACGCAAAAUGGCACAGCCCAGUUUAUGAAGCUGAAACAGCAUUUACGCCUUGCAGAGACCUAACCCAAAGGGUGAUACUCCUUUCUAAGGAAACAACCACGGUUAAAGGUUUAGCCAACACUAAGGCCUUAAACCACACACUAAUGAAUGUCCAGCUACCACCUGGCCUGGGUUGAGUUUUGCCUGCAGUGCAUUGAGCUGCACCUGCUGCAGAAUAGCAGGUGAAUAUGAGUGAAUAUGAGCAUGUUUUGGCUUUGUUCAUGUUCUCCUUUGGUAAAGCAAGGAUGUUAUGGGAUGCAGACAUCCUAAAGCUCAUUGAUCAUGGAGUUUUGAGGCCCUUCCCCUUCCCGUUGCAGGCAUCACUCAGUCUUCUCCCCAUGUUCCUCCACCAUGGCUAGUUUCUGAGACUCUCCCUGCUCUGAUUCUAGGCUGGGUCUUCUGCCUCUUUCUGCCUUCAGUCCAAGCUCUUUCUCAUGAGCUUUAGCAUACUAUAUUCUUCCCUCUAUCUCUCUUUAUCUCAUUGUGAAGAAAGUCAAGGUCUGCUUAACUUCUCAAAAAGACAUUUUUAGUAUGGCCAAAAAACUCAAAAUGAAAUAGUAUCCAAUUCAGUAUCCCAUCUCCAGUCUGCUUGCACUUUCCAGUAUAAAAUGUCUUGUUGGAAAAGGAUUUUCACAUCCUCACCUUGCUCUGGUACCAGGACUCAGCCUCAGCCCAGCUCAAGUUGGUGAUGUCCUCGUGCUGCCCUUUGACCUCUGCAGCAAUGCUGUCCAGGUUUCGGUAGCUGUCUGUGGACAGGACCACAGAGGUGGUGGAGAUUUGUGACCACGUCUGAGACAGUUCCUGUAAGUGAAACAGAAUUCAUGCUCAGGCCCAAAGUUUCACUCCUGCACUUGUCCCAGAGGUGAUGGGUGGUGGAGGGGGUAUGAACAGGAGGAACUGCAGCUCUGAACCUCUGUCUCGGGCUGGUUUGAUCCUGUUGGUAGCAGGGAAGUGGGGAAACAGCAGAACAGAGAAAUCUGGGAGAUUCUUAUUGCUUCGUAGAGGACUUGCAGGAAGGUAAUAUCUGCCAGUGCUUCCACCUUGGCCUCCAGCUCCACCUUGCUCAUGCAGAUGGCAUCCAUAUCCUGGAACCGUGGCACUGCAGAUAGUAAACCGAACCUGGCAUAUCUGCAUCCUUGCGCAAGGGCCAAUUGUCAUGAAAUACUAACCUAUGGAGAACAGCCGGAACUGGGGAGAUUCUUGACCUGUGCUUUUAAACAGAGCUAAGCGUGAACUAAUUUCUUUCUCCUCACCUCUCCUUUUUGCAUUGUAUGUUUCCUUUGAGAAUGGGGUGAUGUUGUUCGUGGACCUAAGUAAUUUUUGCUAUGUCUGAAAGCCAUGAGUUUUCCCAUGUUUUGCCAGCCUGCGAACAGAUAUUUUGGACAAUGCUUGAAAUAGUGAAAGUUUCUCAUUGUGUCUCCUGCAGGUGGGAUUGGGGGGACUGUGGAGGGAGAGAAUUAAUGCAGAAGAGCUGAAGAAGUGGCAGAGCAUCCAGUGGGGUGACUACAAGAUCUGGCUGACCCAGAUCUGAUGUGGUUCCCGGGAGACCAGGACUCGUGUGAGCUUUGGAUGAGGGGCUUGGAGCAAGAGUGAGCUAUUGCCAGUGACUGACACGAGGCAGCACUGGCACAACUGGGUGUUUCUCCUUCAGGAGGAAUGACUACAUGUUUGCUAAGUGCUUUGCCCAGCUUGGUACUGCUGGAUGAAAAGGGUUAUUUGCAUUCAAAUGCAUUUUGCCUUUAAAAAUUGUGUUCUUUCUUUGUUAAUAGUGCCUCACCUUCUUGAGCACCUCAAACUCAUUCUCUACAGUCCUGCACUUGUUGAUCUCCUCUUCAAACUGUUGGGAAGGGGAGGUAGAGUGCUGCUGAUGACGUGUAUACCGCAGCCAAAGUGAUGGGGACUGAGUCACGUUAGUUCUUUUUGAGGUCUCACCAUUUUGGGGUUGACUUGGUUCUUUUAACUCAACCAGGAAGAGAACGGAGUGAAGAGCCAGGCAGUGCCUCAUCCGCUCGGAGACGCUUCUGAUAAAGAAGUUAAUGGGCACUCCGUUCUUCUUCCGG